ensembl:lncRNA
GAAGGAACCAAUGCGAUGCUCGAGAUGGGGUCCUGCAGAUGCAGUAAUACCCACAUGCAGGAACGCCCCGAAUUGUGGGCUGCAGUUGCACCCUUUAGCUUGGCGAGGGGAAGUUUGGCAGUGUGUGUUACAAGACAAGCCGGCCUCUGACUCUCUGCCAGGAACAGAAGAGAGGGGAACAAUAGACGGGUCUACCUGCUGUUUAACGGGGUUGGGGAAGACUGGGCCUGUUAUAGUGUGUAGAACAGACAGAGAGGCCUGUUGUUGUUUAGGAACAUCAUAUCAGAGGUUGCUGUUGUUGUUUAGGAACAUCAUAUCAGAGGUUGCUGUUGUUGUUUAGGAACAUCAUAUCAGAGGUUGCUGUUGUUGUUUAGGAACAUCAUAUCAGAGGUUGCUGUUGUUGUUUAGGAACAUCAUAUCAGAGGUUGCUGUUGUUGUUAUGCAGCUAGUUGUGCUCAAAGUAUAUACCUUUAAAAUAGGCUUUAACAAAAGUCAAACACAGUCUUUAGUAAAGAGAGACAGACAGACAGACAGACAGACAGAGGAGUAUGAGAGAGACAGAGAAAGUCCACGUUAGUAAAUGUGUUAUUUCUGUCUUUCAG